AGCCCCUGGCAACGGGCAAAGCGACACCUUGUUGGUGGUGUUGUUCUUACAUCAGUCAAAGGCAGGGCAGAUGGCAGUCCUUUGUUCAUCCUAGCUUGAUGCCUGGCAUGGUGGCCAAAGCAGUUUUAUACCUAGGACUCAUAA